GCCAGCAGCCAUAUCACUUUGCACUCACAACUGAAGCUAAGCAGGUGUGAGCCUGGUCAGUACCUGGAUGUGAGACCUCCUGGAAAAACUAAGGUUACUGCUGGAA
rnacentral:rRNA from 1 species